rnacentral:rRNA from 1 species
AACGAACGCUGGCGGCAUGCCUAACACAUGCAAGUCGAACGCCCUGGGCAACCAGGGAGUGGCGGACGGGUGAGUAACGCGUGGGGACCUGCCUCGAAGUUCGGAAUAACCGCGGGAAACUGCGGCUAAUACCGGAUGUGGCCUGAGGGCCAAAGGGGAAACUCGCUUCGAGAGGGGCCCGCGUCCGAUUAGCUAGUUGGCGGGGUAACGGCCCACCAAGGCGACGAUCGGUAGCUGGUCUGAGAGGAUGAUCAGCCACACUGGGACUGAGACACGGCCCAGACUCCUACGGGAGGCAGCAGUGGGGAAUAUUGGACAAUGGGGGCAACCCUGAUCUAGCCAUGCCGCGUGAGUGAUGAAGGCCUUAGGGUUGUAAAGCUCUUUCAGCUGGGAAGAUAAUGACGGUACCAGCAGAAGAAGCCCCGGCUAACUCCGUGCCAGCCGCCGCGGUAACAC